rnacentral:rRNA from 1 species
AGUGAACGCUGGCGGUAGGCCUAACACAUGCAAGUCGAACGGCAGCACAGUAAGAGCUUGCUCUUACAGGUGGCGAGUGGCGGACGGGUGAGGAAUACAUCGGAAUCUACUUUUUCGUGGGGGUUAAGGAAGGGAAAGUUAAUCUAUUACCGCAUCCCCCCUCGGGUGGAAGCGGGGGGACCUUCGCCCCUGGCGGGGUUGAAUGAGCGGAUGUCGAGUUAGCUGGUGGGGGGGUGAAAGACCCACAAAGGCGAGGAUCGGUGGCUGGACUGAGAGGAUGAUCAGCCACACUGGAACUGAGACACGGUCCAGACUCCUACGGGAGGCAGCAGUGGGGAAUAUUGGACAAAGGGCGCAAGCCUGAUCCAGCCAUACCGCGUGGGUGAAGAAGGCCUUCGGGUUGUAAAGCCCUUUUGUUGGGAAAGAAAAGCAGCAGGUUAAUACCCCGCUGUUCUGACGGUACCCAAAGAAUAAGCACCGGCUAACUUCGUG